ensembl:lncRNA
GGAGUAGUUGUCGAGUUAGUAGUACAGUCAAUUUGAGCAUUCCUCGUAUUGGGUUGCUGGUGUAAUCAUUGUAUUAACACGGCCCCUGUUUGAUCCUUUCCCUCAGCAGUUUGGAAGACAUUGAAUGAUCGGCACUGCAGCAAGUUUACAAACCAGUUGAACUGCACCACUGAGAAGAACGACACUGGUGUUAAUUUGCUGGUAUCCUUUUGGAAACCCUCUCCGCUAGCUACGAACUCACUGCCUAGCUAUUUAUACGUCUCUUUGUUUCCCCCAUCAAAAGUGGUGAUCUCAUCAAGCUAACGCCAGACUGUCCACACGGAUGUGCGACAUCUACCGAAGUGUCCCGUUGUCUUACAUGUUUGUUUUAGUUCAGUCCAGAAGACUGGAAGUUGCCAGAGUCCCAGGUAGUGGAAUCGAAAAGUCCGGACAAACUCCGUCCCGACGAGGACAAAUGCAAGACGACGUGUACCGAAGCGGCCAUUUGACCGAAAAGAAGUUGUCAGUCAUGUCAUCUGCAUAUUACAUGCAGUAGCCGGCGGUCUUGUCAAAAGUUACUAGUGCAAGUAACAGAGUUUGAUGGAAUAGCAGGCCUAGUUGCAUGCCCUGAAGAUUUGCAUUAAUAAACGACCGGGUUUGAGGCAACGGCACUAUGUCGGACGACAACAACGUUGACAAAUUUAUAAAGGAGACCUCCAUCUUGGAGGAGUACAACAUCAACUGGACACAGAAGCUCGGAGCUGGCAUCAGUGGACCUGUGAGG